rnacentral:misc_RNA from 1 species
AAAUCAAGUCUCAAUGGCAAGAGCAAAAUUGGAUUCAUCGUAAAACUGCAUUUAGUCACUAGUCUGACUAGUUAUAUCAUGAAGUGGUAGUUUCAAAUGAAUAUACAAGACUGCACACCAAAAACGAUAACUAUACAAAUUUCAAUGCACACUUUGUACAAUGAGAAGCAAAAGUAGAGCAUUUGCUGCUACCUUGGCAUUCCAUAAAGAAUUUACGGCACCUCAAGAUCCUAGAUGGGAAAAAAAUGAAGAUGACAAAAUCAAGUCACAAAGAUUCGCUCUCCUUCCCAGCUUUUCAUGAGAAUUUUGGAUCUACAGGCAGAGUCGAG